UAGAGUAUUCCAAUUGCGCGGAUUCUAA
rnacentral:sRNA from 1 species